rnacentral:rRNA from 1 species
GACGAACGCUGGCGGCGUGCCUAAUACAUGCAAGUUGAGCGCUGAAGGUUGGUACUUGUACCAACUGGAUGAGCAGCGAACGGGUGAGUAACGCGUGGGGAAUCUGCCUUUGAGCGGGGGACAACAUUUGGAAACGAAUGCUAAUACCGCAUAAAAACUUUAAACACAAGUUUUAAGUUUGAAAGAUGCAAUUACAUCACUCAAAGAUGAUCCCGCGUUGUAUUAGCUAGUUGGUGAGGUAAAGGCUCACCAAGGCGAUGAUACAUAGCCGACCUGAGAGGGUGAUCGGCCACAUUGGGACUGAGACACGGCCCAAACUCCUACGGGAGGCAGCAGUAGGGAAUCUUCGGCAAUGGACGAAAGGCUGACCGAGCAACGCCGCGUGAGGGAAGAAGGGUUUCGGAUCGUAAAACUCUGUUGGUAGAGAAGAACGUUGGUGAGAGUGGAAAGCUCAUCAAGUGACGGUAACUACCCAGAAAGGGACGGCUAACUACGUG